UCAUGAAAUCGGGACCAUCUCCUGGGUAGUUCGCAAAAAGCCCCAAGCCCCGCCUUCUUAGUCGAAAGGCUCUUAGGUCCCAUCUCCUCCCAUUUCAGAACUUCUGCCCCUGACCCUUCUCCCUUGCUUCGCACGAUGCCAAGGCUGGAUGUUGAUGCGCCCUAACCGAAACCCUUAUCCCCCUUUUCAUUCCCCUCGCAUGCAUGGAGUAACCGGAUUGGCUUCUCCUUUUUUUCUCCCAUACGAUAUCUAGCCCUAGGGACCCCGACCUCCUCCGGUUUGUUCAACUAGAGACAAGAGGAAGUGAUUGGAGGAAACAAACUGGUGUGCAAGCUC